rnacentral:rRNA from 1 species
UACGGGGGGGGCAAGCGUUGUUCGGAAUUACUGGGCGUAAAGGGCUCGUAGGCGGCCAACUAAGUCCGACGUGAAAUCCCCAGGCUUAACCUGGGAACUGCGUCGGAUACUGGAUGGCUUGAAUUCGGGAGAGGGAUGCAGAAUUCCAGGUGUAGCGGUGAAAUGCGUAGAUAUCUGGAGGAACACCGGUGGCGAAGGCGGCGUUCUGGACUGUUACUGACACUGAGGAACGAAAGCCAGGGGAGCAAACGGG